CUGUUACACCUUGUGCUGCUUGCAAGUUAUUGAGGAGAAGGUGUGCUGAAGAGUGUCCUUUCUCUCCAUAUUUCUCUCCUCAUGAACCCCAGAAAUUUGCAGCUGUUCACAAAGUCUUUGGCGCAAGCAAUGUCUCCAAGAUGCUAAUGGAGGUACCUGAAAGCCAAAGAGCUGAUACAGCGAACAGUCUAGUCUUUGAAGCAAAUUUGAGGCUAAGAGAUCCAGUAUAUGGCUGCAUGGGUGCAAUUUCAGUUUUACAACAACAAAUUCAAUCUUUGCAAGCAGAAAUUAAUUCAGUAAGAGCUGAGAUAAUCAAAUACAAAUAUAGAGAGGCCAAUACUAAUAUCAUUUCGUCUACUGAACAUCAUCAUCCUGCUGCCUUAGUUUCUUCCGGGGAUUUGUCUUCAAUCUCUGCUCCAGCACCACAACCUCUUCCUCCACUUUCGUCUCCUCCUCCUCCUCCGCCUCCACCACCACCAACAACCGCAUCUAUUGUUGUUUCUUCAUCUUCUUCAUCUUCCAUUUCUUCCUUGUACACGCCACCCACUAGUUCUACAGGUUACAGCUCCAUUUCCAGUGUUAAUGUUCCAUACUUUGACUAAUUUAAUUAUAAG
rnacentral:misc_RNA from 1 species